GAUAGAGAAUGAGUUGAUCUGGGUACUCAGCUUUGUGCCCGGUUUGGAUUCUGUCCUGCCCAGCAUCAUAGCCAAACUGCAUUCAGUUAAAGAAAAAUAUAUGGCACCUGCACCACCCCUACCCUCAAAUAACAAGGUACUCGGGACACAUUAUUUAACCAUCAAGUACAUCCUUGUGUGGAUCAGUUGUAGAAUGUUCAAUUUUCAUUGCAAACAA
rnacentral:misc_RNA from 1 species